UAGAUUUUUCUUUUCAACUUUGAUUUCUCUACCCAUAAAUGGCACUUUUUCGUCUUCUCCAUUUGCCAUCAUGUCCCACAAACUUCUUCUGCUUCCACCAGAACCUUUCCUCAGCUUCACCACAAACCUCCCACGCUCAACGCCACUCUCUCUUUUCCCUCUCUUUCAUUCAAACUCCCAUUCAAGUCCCAAAGAUUCAAUCUUUUUAGUUCCAAGUCCCUUUUUCAACCCAAGCCCAACCCAUUACUCAAAUUUCAGAAAAUGCAGAAAAAGAUAACCAAGAAGAAGAAGAAGAUGACGAUGAAGGAGAAGAAGAAGAAUUCUCUAAAACCAGAAUUUUAGCUGAGGGUGUUUCAUGGACCUCCACUGUAGACGAUUCAGCAGGUAGCGCUUCCUGUAUUGGGAAUUCUUGCAGCUGCUUCUAUUACCUUCUAUGCCAUGAGCUUCGCCGAGCUUAGAGAGAAAUCUUUUAGAGACUUGGAAGAGUCUACUGGUAAUGGAGGUUUCGAGUCAUCCAUGAGCUCUAGAAAAAGGCGGGCAAGGAGGACGGCUGAUAAAGACGCCAAGCCUUAGAAGAUCCAAUUCAAUUCCUCUGGUAAUAGCAGGCAUCAUCUCAUCCGUGUGUUGUUUAAUCAUUUCCUACAAUGGGGGUAGUACCCCCCUUUUUUUUAGUAAACAGAGGAUUUGAGUUGUAGCUGGACAAAAUUGCCCCCGAAAAUUGCCACGUGGAAUGCUAAUUUCAGAACUUAAGAGCAAUUAAUGACGAAAUGGUCACGGGUUUAUAGAUUAAAUUGUUUAGUGGCCAA